rnacentral:lncRNA from 12 species
CGCGGCCUCUGCCCCCCGGGGACCCUGUGCCUGCGUGCAUGUGCCCUCACGCCCAGGCCCGAGUCCCUGCGCCCACGGCUUGAGCCCAGUCCCCACGGUGCCAGCCAGGCUCCACCUCCCACAGCACCGCCCAGCCCGGAACUGGGGUGUGACCGAGCUGGACCCAACGGGAAGCUUUUGACGGAGAGUCACGCACGACGGUGUCCGGGCGCUUCUCCUCCCCAGAGCCGGGUCGCUACAAGACUCCUGCCCCCACAGACGGGGACACCAUGGCCCGGACUCGGGGAAGGCCUGAGCCAGGCCGGCGGGUCUGGUGCAGCCCUCGGCCCUGAACAUUGGGGCAGGGGGGUCAUUGCCGGGUGGACGGCGGACGCCACUGGGCCAGGCCCUGGGCCUGCGACCUGCCGCGUGUCCUGCUGGAAGCCAGCCACUCCGCUGUGGUCCCUGCAGGGCGCGGGGACAAGAGGUGCCAGCUGCCAUCGCCUCCCGAUGAAACCUCUCCGGUCCCCUCCCAGCCCUCACCCGGGGCGCAGAGACACGUCUGCCGGGGGCUCCUCCGAGGGAGAGAGACGCGCGCCUGCUGUCCGCUGAGGGGAAGCGGACGGAGGAGGUAUUUCCAGAACGUAGGCCUCUCUAGGGCCUUUGCCAUGAGAAAGUCCCUCAAACGGCACCGCAGCGUUGAGAGGCCCCCAGGCGUGCCGUCCCCUCCUGGACGCAGCUCCGCCGCCUCGGCCGGGGGGUUCGGGCCUGCCCCGCGCGCCUGAGGACGGGGGACCGUCCCUGUGAGGACGCACCUGCGGCAGGG